rnacentral:rRNA from 1 species
GCAAUACACGAAAGUGUGACAAGGCUAUCCCGAGUGCCAUCCGCUGAGGAAGGCUUUUACCCAGUAUAAAUAGCUGGGAGAAUAAGGAGAGGGCAAGUCUGGUGUCAGCCGCCGCGGUAAUACCAGCUCUCCGAGUAGUGUGGAUGUUUAUUGGGCCUAAAGCAUCCGUAGCUUGCUAAACAAGUCCCCUGUUAAAUCCACCGAUUCAAUCGAUGGACUGCGGGGGAUACUGUUUGGCUAGGGGACGGGAGAGGCCGACGGUAUUUCCGGGGUAGGGGUGAAGUCCUAUAGUCCCGGGAAGACCACCAGUGGCGAAGGCUGUCGGCUAGAACGCGCCCGACGGUGAGGGAUGAAAGCUGGGGGAGCGAACCGGAUUAGAUACCCGGGUAGUCCCAGCUGUAAACGAUGCAGGCUAGGUGUUUGGGCGGCUACGAGCCGCUCUAGUGCCGCAGGGAAGCUGUUAAGCCUGCCGCCUGGGGAGUACGGCCGCAAGGCUGAAACUUAA